rnacentral:lncRNA from 1 species
GCCUGCCUUGGUACUGUGAUCACUGGAUGAUUUUUCAGCUCAUGUAGCUUCUGCCAAAUUCCACAUCCCUCACUAAUCCUCUUUCGGGUUUUCAUUCUAAUAAAAGGAGAAGGCAGGCUGGCAACACGUGGCGCUUUUACAAGUCUUCAGGCCUCUCCCUCCUGGGACCUCUCUGCUUUCAACAUCUGCAUGUGCCAGGCCUGGCUCCCUCCCCAGCUGCGGAAACCAGCCUGCACCUCAGCGGGAUGCUGGGCUGGACCCAUGGCAGAUGUUCCUGUCAUGUGGUCUGAAGAAGUCCAGAUGUGUUUGCUCAGGAUGCGGAGCCGGUGCCUCCCAGGAGCAGGGAGGAAAGAGGAGUUACUCAAGAGCAGCUGCUACACGAAGAGCAGUACUGGAGUGGGGAUGAGGACGUGGUCAACUCUGCUUGGGGACAGGGCAACCGACCGUGUAGGAUGAGACAGAUGCCACCAAGCAGACAAGGGGUCGCUUCUUCCGUGUGUCCCUGAACUUCCCGGAUGUCGCCUCCUCUCCUGCUCAUCUCCAUCCUUAUCUUCCUGUGGAACAGCCCACGACCCACCCACCAGGAUAUCACCCUCAAGGAAUCAAGCCAGGAUGAUGGACAGACUGCACACUGGUGCAGCUUCUUCCUGGAAGCCUAGCUGCUGCCCCUUUGCCCAGUAGCUGUUAGGGUCUGCAGGUAGAGUUAGAGCAUUGUCGUGCUAUUAAAAAAUAUGCUUAAAUAAUAUUAAGUGAAC